GUUUCGACGUUCUGCCACGUUCCUUCCCCAAAUCACUGAGCAUGUGGAUAAUAUCUCUAACAGUGUUCGUGUAAGGUGAAAUGGAGUGGUUGUGUCCUGGUACAAGUUGUUUUCUUGAGUUAAUUACACAAUAACUGAUGAGAUGCUUUUUUGUGGCCAAACGGAGAGGAGCCCUUCAUCUCACUAGCCAAGAGUCAAACAGCGAAUUGGGUGGUCGUAAUCCUCCUGCAGCCAAACCCUGCGACCUGCAGUUCCUCCCCUAGUGAGGCCUGUCAGGGGGGGAGCAUGUCUGACAUGUGGUCUCUGGAGAGGAUGCUGAACCGGACCACUCUCUCCACACAGAGGCUGCUCCACACACACAUCCUGGGUGUGGGACAGCAGUUUCUUCCUCCCAAGUCUUCCUCCACAAGCCCCAGCCAAGCCCCAGGGCUGGCCUCUCUCGCCCCCCAGUUGGAGAAGCCUGAUGUGGGGGCCACACAGAGAGAGUAUCCCUGGAUGGAAGAAAUUCUGGAAAAGGCUGAGAAGGAUAAAGGGAGUGCCCUGAAACAACAGGGGGAGCGUCUGCAGGUGCACUUCAAAGAGGCCGUGCUGGCGAGGGAGAGGCUGGAGGCCGAGUGGAGGCAGGGCGAGCGGGUAGCGCAGCAGGCCGUGUUUGCGGAGCGCCUCGUGGGGCUGCGGGAGGAGAUGGAGAGAGAGAUGAGACUGGCGGUGAUUGAGAUGUGUGGGAGGAUGAGGGCCAAGAUGCAGGGAGAGGCGGAAGAGGAGAGACUGAGAGAGGCAGAGGCCGUGGAGGCUAAAAUACAGGAGGAGAGAGAGAGGAGUGUUAGGGAGACGGAGCUACGAGUCCAACGGCAGUGUGAACAAGAGGCUCAGGAGGACCGAGAGGCUCUCCAGGAAAGACAUGCAGUGGAACUUUGCCGAAUGCAGACCAGGCAGUGGCAGCUGGAGCAGACUUUGUCCCGGGUCACAGGGGAGAAGAUGCGAUACGAAACAGAGUUUAAGAGAUUACAGUGUAGCUACAGACAGUUUGUGGAUCUGACCGAGUCCUCCCUCCACUCUGACUACCUGUUGAAGCUCCGUCACCUUGGUCGAGAGCCUGGAUACACUGAUGUGGGCGUUCAAACGGAUGAUGUCAUCAACGAGGGACACCUUCCCGGAUCAACUCAGUGAUGCAUCUUCCUGCUGCUCGAGGCAGGGGUACUGAGACACGUGCCUUUUGGAUCAGCUAAUUGUUUGCAAUCUUGAUCUGAACUAUUAGCUGUUAAAGUGUAACUCUGAUCUUAGAUCAGCACACAGGAACAUUAUCUGUCACCUUGGGCGUUCCAGUGGAGCUCCCAAAUGCCUCUGCUCUGUCAUCAGGAAUGUGUCCAUAUAGGGAAUGAAAAUUAUGCCACA
ensembl:lncRNA